GAUGAACGCUGGCGGCGUGCCUAAUACAUGCAAGUCGAGCGAACAGACGAGGAGCUUGCUCCUCUGACGUUAGCGGCGGACGGGUGAGUAACACGUGGAUAACCUACCUAUAAGACUGGGAUAACUUCGGGAAACCGGAGCUAAUACCGGAUAAUAUAUUGAACCGCAUGGUUCAAUAGUGAAAGACGGUUUUGCUGUCACUUAUAGAUGGAUCCGCGCCGCAUUAGCUAGUUGGUAAGGUAACGGCUUACCAAGGCAACGAUGCGUAGCCGACCUGAGAGGGUGAUCGGCCACACGGGAACUGAGACACGGUCCAGACUCCUACGGGAGGCAGCAGUAGGGAAUCUUCCGCAAUGGGCGAAAGCCUGACGGAGCAACGCCGCGUGAGUGAUGAAGGUCUUCGGAUCGUAAAACUCUGUUAUUAGGGAAGAACAAAUGUGUAAGUAACUAUGCACGUCUUGACGGUACCUAAUCAAAAAGCCACGGCUAACUACGUG
rnacentral:rRNA from 1 species